rnacentral:lncRNA from 1 species
ACAGGACAGGGUCCACUUCAGGAAGUGGUUUGCCUAGGUUCAGGCAGAGCACAACAACGACUCCUGAACAUUCAUUCUACAUCUCAAAGGCUAAAGUGGAAGUGACUCCAGAAUAUGUCCAUUAGGACAGGAUAAAUUAUGUUCUCAAGAAUAAUUCCUUUCUUUGUAUUUCCAUUUGAAGUUAAAGACUGUGUCUUUGUGCUUUUCUUUCUUUUAAGUAUUACUAGAGAAAGAAUGAGAAACAGCAUCUAAAUCAUCAUCACCAUCAUCAUCAUCACCAUGAUCAUCAUCACAAAGCUGAGAACACAAGUAUCUCUCUCCCUGAGACUCCAGGCUUACCAGUUGUGCUAGGUUGGCUGACUAAAAGGAUGACUUAUUAUACCAAAUGGAGGAGAGGAACCAGAAGAAGAAAGGACGACUAUGCAUUUGCCUGCCUGAGGGAGACAUUCCAACUCAUGUGUUUAGGCCUCCCCAUGGGCCUGUUUCUCCCAUCUCAGAAUCUAGGGUCAUCCCUUCCAUCCUCCAAAGGGACAUGUUCCCGGAGUGUCAGAACUCUGUUUUAUCCAUUCUGCUGUAUGAUUGGGAGGAGAGUUGAGCAUUUGCCUCAGAUGUGCAUGUAUAUUCUUGAUUUAUCAAGCACACAUCUUCCUUGCUGCCGUUUUGAAUGGGUGCUCUCCAAAGCUUUCUAGGACAGAACAAGUGGGAGUUCCACUUUCUGAGAUCUUGUCUGUGUAAAGUUUAACUGUUUCUUUAUGUGUGAUAACAGAGUGUGAACACGUGAAAUAAGAUGGGAAAAGAACAUAUGUAACAGCCCAGAGGCAAGAGAGUGGGAUAUUUUAGAUCUGAGAAGGAAGUGUCACAGGUCUGUAUUAACCAAACAAUAAAAUAUUGGACCACAGCACUAAAUUCUCAAGAAGACAACUUGAAAUGAAUGCAAAAGAAGUCAUUUGAGGCAAACAUUAACCCAGAGAUUUAUAAAAGAAACAGGGCAACUUAGACGAGCCUUCUCUGUGCCAUCUUUCUGGGUUAGAGGCAAUACCAUCAGUGAUACUCACAGCCUAAACCAAAGUUGUAACAACAGAAAGGUACCGUGAAGAAAAAAAAAAAAGUGACUCAGAAAGAUUCACCUGAUGCCUUCCCGCACUUUCCACGUGAGACCAUGUGACUGCAGCAUCAUGAGGUAACAUCCAUGUCUACUGAAGGAGAUGUUCAUUUGGCUGACUUGGGAGUAGGAAUGGGGAGGACUGUGAAGAGGGUCCGAAUCACUAUGAGAUUACAAUGAAUGGGAGCCCAUCUCUUCCCACUCCUUUCUAAAGCAUGGCUGACUUUAAUGCCUGGACAUCAUCAUCUGGUUCCCUGAACUCUCUCUGGCUAACGAUGCACACUUGGUACUUAUUUUAACUAAAAGGGAAGUUAAAUCUUUCCUUUCAUGUAAGUCUGCACAUGCAGGGUAUCUGCCCACACAUUCUACCACCUCACUAGUUUAUGAGAUGUUCGAGUUUCCUUAUGUCAGUAUACCUAAAGAAAAUACCAAAGGCAAAUAUGUAAAACAAUAAAUAGCAUAGGAAGGAAGUUAUCAAAAUAUAGGAGAAAUGCAGGGCAUAAAUGCAGGAUCGAUUUAAUUGUUUGGUUUUCCUUUUCCUAAUAUCAAAGGCAUAACUAAAGCAAGGUGCUUUGGCUUAUAUUUGAAAAUAUAAACAAAAAUAAGAUUGCAAGGUAAGGCAAAGAGGUAGGGAGACUAAAAAUCAGCUAAGACAACCGAGGGCUCCUGGAGGAGGAAGAGUCAGGGCUCUUCAGGGAUGCAGCCUGUUAUGGGUUGCCUGUGCUCAAUGGAUGGCCCCACCUCUCUGCUGAAUAUGCCAGACCUAACUGUUCUCAGUGAGUUAUAAAGGAGAAAGAAAUAAAAAGAGGAGACCAUGACAUUGAAAGAGGACAGGAUGGGUUCUAAAAAAAGCUGAGCAGGGUGGGGUAAAUAUCAAAAUAUUUUAUGUCCAUGUAUGACAGUCUCAAAAACUAGACAAAAUUAAAUUUAAAAAAUUCAGCCAAGCCCUCCAGGACAGUGCUCUAUGAGCUGCAGUAUUGAAUUAAUUGCUGGUAUCCUAUUAAAAGGGAAAUUUUCAAUACUCUUGUUACAUAACCCUUCAUUAGCAGCUUAGAGUCUUGGUGAGCUUUCUGGAUAAAUGUUUAUGUGAUAAGAACAGUAUCCGACUAUUAUUCACAGGAGAUAAUAAAGAGCUGACUAAUCCCACAUUUAGUGAGGACAGGGAACACUUCCUCAGCCAGGAAGGCAAAGCUUCAUCGGGUGAAUUUAACCAGUGAACAGCCAGUUUGCCAAAAUGAGGCAAAUGAUCAUAAAACUAGCUUCAAACAAUUUACACCCAAAGUUUAAGUGCAAAGACCAGUACUGUUAAGUAUUAAAAAUUCAAAAUAUUGAAAUAUUCUGUCCUCAGUAUGCUCCACAAAUAUGCAUAAGUGCUACAUGCAUAGUUCCUGGUGUGUUAAUAUCAUUUAUAAGCAGGCUUUGUAGUGAAUAACUUCCUUUCUCUCCCAUUGGGGAGAAAUGGAAAUUAUAACAGAAUAUUGGAUGGUCAUUUUCUUUCAAACUUUAAGUUUUUAUCUGAUUAUUAAAGUAAUAUACAUUGGUUUACCUAAUAAUCACAAGUGGAUAGGAGCAGUAAUAAAAUCCUCACUAACAUCUUGGCAUAUUUAUUAUCAUUUUCCUUGAUCACUUUAUGACUGAAAUAAAAUAUGUAAAUUCUAGUGCCU